rnacentral:rRNA from 1 species
CCUACGGGUGGCAGCAGUGGGGAAUAUUGCACAAUGGGGGAAACCCUGAUGCAGCGAAGCCGCGUGAGUGAAGAAUUAAUUCGGUAUGUAAAGCUCUAUCAGCCGGGAAGAAAAUGACGGUACCUGAGUAAUAAGCCCCGGCUAACUACGUGCCAGCCGCCGCGGUAAUACGUAGGGGGCAAGCGUUAUCCGGAUUUACUGGGGGUAAAGGGAGCGUAGACGGCAGUGCAAGUCUGGAGUGAAAUGCGGGGGCUCAACCCCCGGACUGCUCUGGAAACUGUACGGCUGGAGUGCAGGAGAGGUAAGUGGAAUGCCUAGUGUAGCGGUGAAAUGCGUAGAUAUUAGGAGGAACACCAGUGGCGAAGGCGGCUUACUGGACUGCAACUGACGUUGAGGCUCGAAAGCGUGGGGAGCAAACAGGAUUAGAUACCCUUGUAGUC